rnacentral:rRNA from 1 species
CCUGGGUUCAAUGGACAUCGCACCAGGGGUAAUGCCCUGUACCCGCAAGGGACGGUGUUCACGGUGCUGCAUGGCUGUCGUCAGCUCGUGCCGUGAGGUGUUGGGUUAAGUCCCCUAACGAGCGCAACCCUCGGUGCCGGUUAGCCAUCCGGCGCGACUGCCCCGCACAACGGGGAGGAAGGUGGGGAUGGCGUCAAGUCAGCACGGCCCUGACGCCCAGGGCGACACACACACUACAAUGGCGCGGACAAUGGGUGGCCAGCGGGCGACCGCGAGCGAAUCCCCAAACCGCGCCUCAGUUCGGAUGGCAGGCUGCAACCCGCCUGCCUGAAGUCGGAGUUGCUAGUAACCGCCGGUCAGCAUACGGCGGUGAAUACGUUCCC